ACUCAAACUGUGGGGGCACUUCCGUUUUACGAAGGGAAGUGCCGCCAUGUUUUGAGUGU
rnacentral:pre_miRNA from 1 species